rnacentral:lncRNA from 1 species
CGGGAGAGAGGGCGCGAAGGGCAGCCCGUGCCGAGCCGAGCGAUUUGCCCCAGGAAAACGUGAGCUGCAUGAAGGCUGCGGCCGGCCCAUGGGCCCACACAACGCAGGGAAGCUCCGCAGGGCAGAAUGCGGACAGCUUCUGGUGAUGUGUUACUACGGAACAUCGAUCUUUCUUGCUCACUUUCUGAACUGCCUCUGGAAGAAAUCAAGUGCAUCCCCACUCAGAGUACCAUCGAUGGCUGAGGGUGGCAAUAUCCCCACGUGCCACUAGGUGGGGACAACGAAGACACCACAGACGUGAACAAAAGGACGAGCUGCAAAGGUAAGGGUCAUGGCGAGUUUCCCAAAAAUGGCCCUCAGCAAGCUGGCACUCAGCUGCCCCAGAGGCCCCGAGCACUCACAGCGAGCUAGGUCAGCUCAAUGGCACGAGAAAGAAGAGGGAAUUUCCGUGCCUGCUGCAGGCACAGAUGCUCACAGACUCCUACAUUUAAACUGAUUCCUCCCUUAGGACUGGAGCAGUGUUGGAGCCGUGUCCUUUCCUGAUGCCCUGCAGCAUUUUUCAGAGUAUUCUAGGAGAAGAAUUGCAGAUAACUUUCUGGAAACUACAGUGAUCAGAACAGCUGGAACAUCCUUCACCCGGCCAGCAGUGCCAUGGGCUUCAGCUGCUGCAGUUUUAUUUCAGCUCCAGCCACACCAUUCAGCAAAGCCUUGAC